CUAGCGGUGAUGAGCCUCUAACAUGUAAGAAGAAUUCCUUUGUGGGGUUUUUCAAUGAAAUUUUCUUGUUACGCUUGGCUUCUGAGCUUU